rnacentral:rRNA from 1 species
UACGGAGGGUGCAAGCGUUAUCCGGAUUCACUGGGUUUAAAGGGUGUGUAGGCGGGUAUUUAAGUCAGUGGUGAAAUCUCCAGGCUCAACCUGGAAACUGCCAUUGAUACUAUAUAUCUUGAAUCUUGUUGAGGUGGGCGGAAUAUGUCAUGUAGCGGUGAAAUGCAUAGAUAUGACAUAGAACACCAAUUGCGAAGGCAGCUCACUAAGCAAGUAUUGACGCUGAGGCACGAAAGCGUGGGGAUCAAAC